UACGAAGGGGGCUAGCGUUGCUCGGAAUUACUGGGCGUAAAGGGCGCGUAGGCGGGUCGUUUAGUUAGAGGUGAAAGCCCAGGGCUCAACCCUGGAAUAGCCUUUAAUACUGGCGGCCUUGAGUAUGGCAGAGGUGUGUGGAACUCCGAGUGUAGAGGUGAAAUUCGUAGAUAUUCGGAAGAACACCAGUGGCGAAGGCGACACACUGGGCCAUUACUGACGCUGAGGCGCGAAAGCGUGGGGAGCAAACAGG
rnacentral:rRNA from 1 species